CUGACAGGAGCCCAUGGACAUGUCAGCGACAAAUCUUGCAAGGAACAAGUGUUAUUUAUAAGCCCUCCUUGUAUUUUCUUUCAUUUUGCUUGUUUGCGGAGUCAUAAAAAUGUCAUUUUGAGAUAAGUAUGUAUAUGAUAUCAGACUUUCGCGAGGGAUCACCGUUCAGUUUUAUAAGGCACGAGUGGGUUACCAUCGCUUACAGUAAAGGCGCCAUGACUCCUGCUAACUUACCCCUGCUGGUCUGGUUAUUUACUUUCUUGUUCGUCCAGGAAUCUGUUGCUUCAGGCCUGAUCUGUUAUUCGUGCUCUUACACGAACACUGGUGGAGCGGGCGGGGACGAGUGUUUGGAGGAGCCAUGGAAUGUAACAACAGCUAAUAUGGUCAAGUGUACCAUGGCAGGAGACGUGUGUAUAAUUCGCGGAGUGUACCAGAAAUCUAUCAAAGGGUACCAGUCGUUUACUCGAGGGUGCGGUACCUAUCAGAAAUCAUGCUCGGAAGACGUUUACUUCAUUACCUGCUCCACUCGCUGCGAGAUCGACCGAUGUAACUGGGAUAAACUGUCAAUCCCGGGGGUGGGUGGUGGGGGUGGGGGUGCAGGAAAUGCUGCAGUAAGGCCAUGGGACAUAUCCAGCCUAGGAUUGAUAACAGGCCUCAUCCUAUCACUAUACAAACAAGUCUAGCCCUAUUCACAUGUUGGCUUAUGUACUAGGCUUUUGUAUUCUUGCUUUACUGAAAUACACGUACAUGUACCGGCCAGGUCUAACACAUUGCAAGGGUGAUUAUACAACUAAAGAUAUAAUGGAAAAUCAUCAUGUUAGCUUAUAACAGUAUGCCUGAAAAUCACGGUGUAAUAUAUAGUUAACACCAGAAGUCAGGUUGCACAAAUGAUAUAUUGUCAGCAAGAUUCAGAGCACUCCGGAAAGUGUUGCAACUGUUAGGUAUUCGUUGUUCCAUGCCAGGUCUAUGAUGCUUUCAUUUUUUACCUAUAUGACGGGCAUACCCAGCUGAAAGAGUUGUCCGCCAUGCUCGUAUCUGGAGGGUAGCUUAGUGACAUAAUCAAUCAACCUUAUUUAGAGGGCAUUAUUGGUAUUAAUUUUAGAAAUAUUUUAUCAGGAUUAAUUAAUUAAAACCCCCGUAAAUUCAAUCAGAGGUGGAGAAAUUCGUAAUUCUUAAGAUCUAUGGGUUUUAAAAAAUGAGUUACGAAAACUUUGUGAUACUGUAGAAGAUGAAUACCAUUUCAUUUUGAUUUGUUCAUUUUUUUAAAUUUGUUUUGCGGCAAAUGUGCGUUCCUACAUAGUUUUAGACCAUCCCUAGCAGAGACACACUCGAACGACUCUUAAACAGCCUGUUGCUUUCACCAUGUUCCAUUUAUAUUUGUGGACUUAAAAGCGUUUAUACACAGAAUUAUACGGCGUUAAACCCCCAAGCAUACAUAAAUACAUACAUACA